GUGAAUCUGUCUACAUUAGAAGUGAUCGUAUAUUACCAAAUGAUACAUAUUUCAUUGUCUGUGAAUGAAGGUUUGAUAGUUCAGUUCAAAUAGAGAUGUCGCUCGAUUAAGAAACUGCCAGCCAAUUGCCAUCUUUGUUGAAUCACAGCAAUAAGCAAUUUAUGUACUUUGUACAUAUGUGCUAUGUACAUAAGUUUUCUUUAUGUACUUUAAAAGCCGUUUAUGCAGAGCAUAAACUAUGUAACAAACUCUACAUUAAAAAAAUUAGAAACGGAUUCUUUGGUGGUCUAGUGCAGUAAAUAAUCUCUGAAAGACUAGCAAUGCUAACAAAAAAAAAUAAUUCACUUCUUGCCUCUAUAGUGUACAUAACAAGUAAGUAAAACAUGUAGGUAUGAGAAAAUACUGUUAGUUCCUUGAUGCCAUGUGGGUAUUUAGAAUUUUUUCUUACGUGGUAAGGGAAAGCUAGCAUGUUGGGAAAUGCCAUGGAGAUGCUACUGCAACCGGAGAAAUUAUUCUAACUUCCAACCACCUGCAGCUGUACAGAGAUUCACUGGGUGUUCAGGUUUCUGCAUUUCCAGCGGUGCCAGGUGAGCAGGGCAGCAUGGAGCCCUUUCAGGCAGUGUGUUGCAAUCUUCACACCUCUGUGCUGCACGGGGGUUUCCUCUGGCACUGAACAUAGCCCUGCCCUGGUGUGAAGGAUGUUACUGGGACUGUGCUAUCUGUCUCAACAUUGCUGGCUGACCACAAACCAACACAGAGACCCUGUAGAGAACUUGUCUACAUCUUGCUUCAGUGAACCACAUAUGUUUACCCAAACACCACUGCAUUUGUUCGACCAUGAAAACCACACAUCUCCUGUUUUGUACCUUCACCCCAGCAAGUACGCCCAGUCCCCAGAGGAUGAAAAAUUCUCUGAAAAGACAGUAUGGGUGCUUGCACCACUGCUGAGUGAGGGGUGAGGCUAUGCAAAACAGCUCUUGGAAGGAGCAGAGACUUUUGGGUGAACAGCUCUCGAACAUUUAUAAAAGAACUGUGACAACCAGCACCGCGUGGAAUUCCCCACCUGACGUGAAGUCGAUCCGGGCUGACGGGACCCCCAGCUCCGUGCAGUGGAGGAAAGUUAUAAUCAUGAAGAACCCACAGUUCCUGUUCACUGAAAAAAGAAUCAAGUAAAAUCUUGACUGCUUAAGACAGGCAAAACAGUGGACUUGAAUACAGACACUGCUUGGGAAUGAGUCUGUGGUCAACAUGCCAGUGCUGAUGACAAAUGCUGUUAUUCAAAAACAGCUUUGCACUGCAGUUUGCAGGAGUUGGAAUUCAGUACUUAGAUGACGCUCCAGAUCAUUUUGAUAUCAGGGAACAAA